GUGUCAAAAGAAGUUGGUUUUAAUUGUAAAGAGGUGCACUUUUAUUAGAGGUGAGAGAAAGCAAUUUGAGUACUUUACUAAGGAGAGUGAGAAAUUGAAGAGAGAGAAAUUCAAGGGGUGAAGAGACGUGAGACCAAGAAUUCAAGGAGACGAAGCCUUUGAGCUCAGAAAUUCUGGGUCGGUGAAGUUGUCGCGGUUCCAAAGUACGUUUUGGAACGAUUUGUGGCUUGGGGUGAAGAUAUUGUGUAAUGAAUUUGCAUUAUAACAACAAUUACAGGGUAGUUUGAAAAAAAAUCAUGAGAAAUGUACCUGCUGUUUCGUCUAGCAAACAGACGGAUAAGAGGAAACUGAAAGUUUUAGUUGAGGAGGAUAAGGACGCUGACAAAUAUUCAUAUGAAGGCUUGGUUAGUGAUUAUGAUGCUGAUUAUGUGGUAGAAGAGGAAGAAGAAGGUGCACAAGAGGAGUCAAAAGCUGGUGAUUAUGAGGAUGAGGUGGAGUACGUAGUUAGUCGUAGUGGCCAGAAGCGUAAACUGGUUCAACAACUAACAACUAUUCAGAGUAGACCGGUUCAAUAACGACAGAUGUCUGUUAGAAAGGUGAAGCGGCCAGCAGCAGUAGAGAGGCCUUUUGUAGAGAGGCCGGCAACAGUAGAGAGGCCUUUGUAGAGAAGCCGACAGCAGUAGAGGGGCCAUUUGUAGAGAGGCCAACAGCAGUAGAGAGACCAUUUAUGGUGGAGAGGCAGUUUGUAGUAGAACAAGAUAAGGUAAAGUAAUUAGUGUUUUAAAAAGGUUGAAGAUUAGAUGACUAUUUAAUGGAAAUUUUGUGUGGAACUACCCUAAAAAUAGACUAUUUUGUGAACAACUACCCGUUUUCAAAAAUAUUGUUUAGAACUACCCGUACGAUCGCAAAAGUUUGUCUAACACUACCCAUUAACGGUUUCCGUCCAAUUGAGCUGUUUGUGGGGCCCAUUUCUAUGAAUUCCCACCCAAAUAACUCCCCCUCAACUAUCUCUCUCUUCCUUAUACUAUCCCUCCAUUUUCACUCUUCUUCUUUUACCUUCCACCAUUCACCAUCUUAAACCCUAACCAAACUCCCAAAAUUCAUCCCCUUUGUGGAAAAUUAACAAGGCCUAUAACUCUUUUCUUUGCUUUCUCUCUCUUUCCUCUUCAUCUUCUUACUACUUUCGGUAUUUAUAUGUCAGAGGGUGAAACUAUCAAUGGUUAAAGGAAAGGGCAAAGUUAAUUGACGAAAUAAGAAAAAUUCCUAAUUCAAUUCAAGCCAUAAAACCUAAAAAUUAAAAUCCCCAAACUGAAUUAUUGAAGCCCUAAACCCUAAAUUGAAUCCCUAAUUAUGUUAAUUGAAGUAAAUUAAGAACCUUAAACCAAUGAAUAUACUAAGAAUUGAAAUAAUAGCUUAAAACAUUUCCAUAUUUAGUGAUAAAUUGUGGUGAAUUUAGAUUUUUGGAUGAGUUUAGAGGGAAAGUAAUGAAGGAGGAGAGAAUUAAGUGAGAAACCGUAUGAGUGGGCCCCACAAACGACUCAAUUGGACGGAAACCGUUAAUGGGUAGUACAAGACAAACAUUUGCCAUCUUAUGGGUAGUUUUAAACAAUAUUUUUUAAAACGGGUAGUUGUUCACAAAUCAGCCUAUCUUUAGGGUAGUUUUACACAAAAUUUCCCUAUUUAAUUGUGUAUUUGUUUGUAUAUAUAUGAAAUAUAUAUAUAAAUUAGACUUAAGCAUGUCAAUUUUUUUUUGGUUUUUGGUUUGUAUCUUGAUUUGGAACCGGGCCCAUCGGUCGAUGAUAAGGUGAAGAUGAAUGGGGUGGUGGUUAGUACUCAGUUGAGGAACUGUAGCAGGAAGGACCGACGAGAAGAAAAUUGAGCUACUGGAGAGCUGUUGCUUCGGCGGGAUGCUGAUGUUGAAAGUGAAAACAUUGGAUCGUAGGUUUUGUUAUUGGCUCAUAACUAGGGUCGACCCUAAGAAGAAGUUAUUUAUAGGAGUUGGUGGGAAGGAGUUACCGCUAGGUCCUGAGCAAUGGAUGUGCAUACUUAGUCUCCCACUGGAUCCAAACCCCAUGCCGGUUGUAGUUGAGGAUGUAGUUAUGUAGAGUAAAGCUGAUGACAUUGUUAGGAAUUUCGGUGAGGUGAAUUCUAGUGGCUGGGAAAGUAUUCCGAUACAAAAGGCCUAUGAUUCUUUAGGUUUCAUGCCAAUCAAAAUAGAGGAGGAGAAGGACCAUUUUAUGAGGGCGUUCUUAAUAGUUGUGUUGGGUGGUAUCUUGUGUCCUACUAAAAAUGGUCAGAGCAUGGCACUAGCCUACUGCCCGCUGUUACAGUUGGGGCUAUUGCCAGUCAAUUUGAUUGGUGUACUUGUGGUCAUAGUUGGUUGAUGAGUUGUUUGCGAGAUUUUCACAAAAAGUUUGAAGAUAAAGGCUUUGUUGCUGGUGGUGGGGAUGCGGUCUAUUUCUGAUGGUGAGUUUAUGUGAAGUUCAUAUUUUUUAUUGGCGUGUUGUAUAUUUAAUUGGAAAAGGACUAAUAUGCUUUUGGUUA